rnacentral:rRNA from 1 species
UACGUAGGUGGCAAGCGUUGUCCGGAAUUAUUGGGCGUAAAGCGCGCGCAGGCGGAUCAGUCAGUCUGUCUUAAAAGUUCGGGGCUUAACUCCGUGAUGGGAUGGAAACUGCUGAUCUAGAGUAUCGGAGAGGAAAGUGGAAUUCCUAGUGUAGCGGUGAAAUGCGUAGAUAUUAGGAAGAACACCAGUGGCGAAGGCGACUUUCUGGACGAAAACUGACGCUGAGGCGCGAAAGCCAGGGGAGCGAACGGG